GGGGAUUUAGCUCAGUGGUAGAGCGCUUACCUAGUAAGUGCAAGGCCCUGGGUUCGGUCCCCAGCUCCG
rnacentral:tRNA from 1 species